ACACCUUCUUGGACAGUUGGGGGCCCACGUAUCACUGUAAACGAAAUUUCAUACUUUAAUUAUCUUUAUUAUUAUAUGAAUAAAUUUAUUUUACUCUUACGCUACAAAAGUUAUUUUAGGAAGACUUUGAAAAUAUUGUGUUUUAAGAAAAUAGAAUAUUUUAUUUAAUGUUUUUAUUAUAUUCAAAUAGCUAUAAUUUUACUUUAAACGAAUGUUUUAGACUUAAAAAUUUAAUUUAAAUCAUGAAAUAUGUGUUUCCACUU
rnacentral:lncRNA from 1 species